rnacentral:rRNA from 1 species
GUAUAGGGGAGGCGAAGGGAAACCGAGUCUGAUAAGGGCGCAUAGUCGCGGGCAGUAGACCCGAAACCGGGUGAUCUAGUCAUGGCCAGGGUGAAGGUGCCGUAACAGGUACUGGAGGCCCGUACCCACGUCUGUUGCAAAAGACGGGGAUGAGCUGUGAUUAGGAGUGAAAAGCUAAUCGAACCCGGAGAUAGCUGGUUCUCCUCGAAAGCUAUUUAGGUAGCGCCUCGGACGAAUACUACUG